rnacentral:rRNA from 1 species
GACGAACGCUGGCGGCGUGCCUAAUACAUGCAAGUGGGACGCAAGGGAACACACUGUGCUUGCACACCGUGUUUUCUUGAGUCGCGAACGGGUGAGUAACGCGUAGGUAACCUGCCUAUUAGCGGGGGAUAACUAUUGGAAACGAUAGCUAAUACCGCAUAAUAUUAAUUAUUGCAUGAUAAUUGAUUGAAAGAUGCAAGCGCAUCACUAGUAGAUGGACCUGCGUUGUAUUAGCUAGUUGGUAAGGUAAGAGCUUACCAAGGCGACGAUACAUAGCCGACCUGAGAGGGUGAUCGGCCACACUGGGACUGAGACACGGCCCAGACUCCUACGGGAGGCAGCAGUAGGGAAUCUUCGGCAAUGGACGAAAGUCUGACCGAGCAACGCCGCGUGAGUGAAGAAGGUUUUCGGAUCGUAAAGCUCUGUUGUAAGUCA